AGUAAAAGUCGUAACAAGGUCUCCGUUGGUGAACCAGCGGAGGGAUCAUUACCGAGUUUACAACUCCCAAACCCCUGUGAACAUACCAAUUGUUGCCUCGGCGGAUCAGCCCGCUCCCGGUAAAACGGGACGGCCCGCCAGAGGACCCCUAAACUCUGUUUCUAUAUGUAACUUCUGAGUAAAACCAUAAAUAAAUCAAAACUUUCAACAACGGAUCUCUUGGUUCUGGCAUCGAUGAAGAACGCAGCAAAAUGCGAUAAGUAAUGUGAAUUGCAGAAUUCAGUGAAUCAUCGAAUCUUUGAACGCACAUUGCGCCCGCCAGUAUUCUGGCGGGCAUGCCUGUUCGAGCGUCAUUUCAACCCUCAAGCCCAGCUUGGUGUUGGGACUCGCGAGUCAGAUCGCGUUCCCCAAAUUGAUUGGCGGUCACGUCGAGCUUCCAUAGCGUAGUAGUAAAACCCUCGUUACUGGUAAUCGUCGCGGCCACGCCGUUAAACCCCAACUUCUGAAUGUUGACCUCGGAUCAGGUAGGAAUACCCG
rnacentral:rRNA from 1 species